rnacentral:rRNA from 1 species
UACGGGGGGGGGUAAGCGUUGUUCGGAAUUACUGGGCGUAAAGGGCGCGUAGGCGGUCUGCUAAGUUGGAUGUGAAAACUCUGGGCUUAACCCAGAGCCUGCAUUCAAUACUGACAGGCUAGAGUUCUGGAGGGGAUAGCGGAAUUCCUGGUGUAGCGGUGAAAUGCGUAGAUAUCAGGAAGAACACCCGUGGCGGAAGGCGGCUCUCUGGGACGGUACUGACGCUGAGACGCGAAAAGCGUGGGGAUCAAACAGG